GACGAACGCUGGCGGCGUGCUUAACACAUGCAAGUCGAGCGGUAAGGCCCUUUCGGGGGUACGACGAGCGGCGAACGGGUGAGUAACACGUGGGUGACCUGCCCUCAGCUCUGGGAUAAGCCUGGGAAACCGGGUCUAAUACUGGAUAUGACUCCAUGACGCAUGUUGUGGGGUGGAAAGCCUUGUGCGGCUGAGGAUGGGCCCGCGGCCUAUCAGCUUGUUGGUGGGGUGANGGCCUACCAAGGCGACGACGGGUAGCCGGCCUGAGAGGCGACCGGCCACACUGGGACUGAGACACGGCCCAGACUCCUACGGGAGGCAGCAGUGGGGAAUCUUGCGCAAUGGGCGAAAGCCUGACGCAGCGACGCCGCGUGAGGGAUGACGGCCU
rnacentral:rRNA from 1 species